AUUGAACGCUGGCGGAAUGCUUUACACAUGCAAGUCGAACGGCAGCACGGGGGCAACCCUGGUGGCGAGUGGCGAACGGGUGAGUAAUACAUCGGAACGUGCCCAGUCGUGGGGGAUAACGUAGCGAAAGUUACGCUAAUACCGCAUACGAUCUACGGAUGAAAGCGGGGGACCGUAAGGCCUCGCGCGAUUGGAGCGGCCGAUGUCAGAUUAGGUAGUUGGUGAGGUAAAGGCUCACCAAGCCGACGAUCUGUAGCUGGUCUGAGAGGACGACCAGCCACACUGGGACUGAGACACGGCCCAGACUCCUACGGGAGGCAGCAGUGGGGAAUUUUGGACAAUGGGCGCAAGCCUGAUCCAGCCAUUCCGCGUGCAGGACGAAGGCCUUCGGGUUGUAAACUGCUUUUGUACGGAACGAAAAGGCUCUGGUUAAUACCUGGGGCUCAUGACGGUACCGUAAGAAUAGGGACCGGCUAACUACGUGCCAGCAGCCGCCGUAA
rnacentral:rRNA from 1 species